rnacentral:rRNA from 1 species
AGAGUUUGAUCCUGGCUCAGGAUAAACGCUGGCGGCGCACAUAAGACAUGCAAGUCGAACGGACUUAACUCAUUCUUUUAGAUUGAGAGCGGUUAGUGGCGGACUGGUGAGUAACACGUAAGCAACCUGCCUAUCAGAGGGGAAUAACAGUGAGAAAUCAUUGCUAAUACCGCAUAAGCUAGUAGUAUCGCAUGAUAUAGCUAGAAAAGGAGCAAUCCGCUGAUAGAUGGGCUUGCGUCUGAUUAGCUAGUUGGUGGGGUAACGGCAUACCAAGGCGACGAUCAGUAGCCGGACUGAGAGGUUGAACGGCCACAUUGGAACUGAGACACGGUCCAAACUCCUACGGGAGGCAGCAGUGAGGAAUAUUGGUCAAUGGGCGAGAGCCUGAACCAGCCAAGUCGCGUGAGGGAAGACGGUCCUAUGGAUUGUAAACCUCUUUUGUCAGGGAGCAAAAACUGCCACGUGUGGCAGGAUGAGAGUACCUGAAGAAAAAGCAUCGGCUAACUCCGUGCCAGCAGCCGCGGUAAUACGGAGGAUGCGAGCGUUAUCCGGAUUUAUUGGGUUUAAAGGGUGCGUAGGCGGACAGUUAAGUCAGCGGUAAAAUUGAGAGGCUCAACCUCUUCCCGCCGUUGAAACUGAUUGUCUUGAGUGGGCGAGAAGUAUGCGGAAUGCGUGGUGUAGCGGUGAAAUGCAUAGAUAUCACGCAGAACUCCGAUUGCGAAGGCAGCAUACCGGCGCCCAACUGACGCUGAAGCACGAAAGCGUGGGUAUCGAACAGGAUUAGAUACCCUGGUAGUCCACGCAGUAAACGAUGAAUACUAAUUGUUCGGGUCAAAUGAGAUCUGAGUGAUACAGCGAAAGCGUUAAGUAUUCCACCUGGGGAGUACGCCGGCAACGGUGAAACUCAAAGGAAUUGACGGGGGCCCGCACAAGCGGAGGAACAUGUGGUUUAAUUUGAUGAUACGCGAGGAACCUUACCCGGGCUCAAACGUAGCAGGACGUGCGCCGAAAAGCGCAUUUCACUUGUGACCUGUUACGAGGUGCUGCAUGGUUGUCGUCAGCUCGUGCCGUGAGGUGUCGGCUUAAGUGCCAUAACGAGCGCAACCCCUGCCGCCAGUUGCUAACGCAUAAAGGCGAGGACUCUGGCGGGACUGCCGGCGCAAGCCGUGAGGAAGGCGGGGAUGACGUCAAAUCAGCACGGCCCUUACGUCCGGGGCGACACACGUGUUACAAUGGGGGGCACAGCGGGAAGCCACUUGGUGACAAGGAGCAAAACCCCCAAGCCUCUCUCAGUUCGGAUUGGAGUCUGCAACCCGACUCCAUGAAGCUGGAUUCGCUAGUAAUCGCGCAUCAGCCAUGGCGCGGUGAAUACGUUCCCGGGCCUUGCACACACCGCCCGUCA